CAGGUCUGUGCCGACAACUGAAGGCUGGAGCUGUCGUUCAUAUGUGUGUUGACAGUUCUUGCUUUUCAGCCCGUCGGCGUUCGCCUG
rnacentral:pre_miRNA from 1 species